CAGCAGUGAGUGAACGCAUUCUGUGAUCGAUUGGUUCUGUUUUGCAGCAUUUGUGUGUGUUCAGAUAAGCAGGAAAACAGUUCUAUCCUACACAAUUACUCAGCUAACAAA